rnacentral:rRNA from 1 species
UAAGACGAGCCACACAAACGUUAUUCGGAAUUACUGGGCUUAAAGGGUGCGUAGGCUGCGCGGAAAGUUGGGUGUGAAAUACCUCGGCUCAACCGAGGAACUGCGCCCAAAACUACCGUGCUCGAGGAAGAUAGAGGUGAGCGGAACUUACGGUGGAGCGGUGAAAUGCGUUGAUAUCGUAAGGAACACCCGUGGCGAAAGCGGCUCACUGGGUCUUUUCUGACGCUGAUGCACGAAAGCUAGGGGAGCAAACGGG